rnacentral:rRNA from 1 species
GCACAAGCGGUGGAGCAUGUGGUUUAAUUCGACGCAACGCGAAGAACCUUACCUGGGCUCGAAAUGUAGUGGACCGGGGUAGAAAUAUCCCUUCCCAGCAAUGGGCUGCUAUAUAGGUGCUGCAUGGCUGUCGUCAGCUCGUGUCGUGAGAUGUUGGGUUAAGUCCCGCAACGAGCGCAACCCUUAUUACCAGUUGCUACCAUUUAGUUGAGCACUCUGGUGAGACCGCCUCGGAUAACGGGGAGGAAGGCGGGGAUGACGUCAAGUCCUCAUGGCCUUUAUGUCCAGGGCUACACACGUGCUACAAUGGCCGGUACAAACCGUCGCAAACCCGCGAGGGGGAGCUAAUCGGAAAAAGCCGGCCUCAGUUCGGAUUACAGUCUGCAACUCGACUGUAUGAAGCUGGAAUCGCUAGUAAUCGCGGAUCAGAACGCCGCGGUGAAUACGUUCCCGGGC